rnacentral:rRNA from 1 species
AGCAGCAAGUUGGAACUGUUACGAACAAGGGGAAUCUAACUGGUUAAUUAAACCAUAGCAUUUCGCUUCAUCACAGCGGUGGCGAGUGGAAUGUGACUUCUGCCCAGUGCCCUGAAUGUCAACGCUGAGAGAUCAGGUUAAGCGCGGGUAAACGGCGGGAGUAACUAUGACUCUCUUAAGGUAGCCAAAUGCCUCGUCUUCUAAUUAAAGACGCGCAUGAAUGGACCAAUGAGAUUCCUUCUGUCCCUACCUACUAUCUGGCGAAACAGCAGUCAAGGGAACGGACUUGAAACUGUCAGCGGGGAAAGAAGACCCUGUUGAGUUUGACUCUAGUCUGACUUUGUGCAGUGACAUGAGAGGUGUAGUAUAGGUGGGAGGCCUGCCAACAAUGAAAUACCACUACUCUUAUCGUCGCUUUACUUAUCCAAUUAAGGGGGAACGGAGCCCGCUCGCAUCCGCGAGAAGGAUCCAUUCGGACCCGUGGGUCUUCCGAUUCCAGCGAUAAGCAGGCGUUAGCCUGUG